rnacentral:rRNA from 1 species
GAACGGGGAUCAGCCCAUUAAGUUAUGUGUGUUUUAGUGGAACGCUCUGGGAAGUGCGAACGUAGAGGGUGAUAUUCCCGUACACGAAAGGGCACACAUAAUGAUGACGAGUAGGGCGAGGCACGUGAAACCUUGUCUGAAUAUGGGGGGACCAUCCUCCAAGGCUAAAUACUCCUGACUGACCGAUAGUGAACCAGUACCGUGAGGGAAAGGCGAAAAGAACCCCUGUGAGGGGAGUGAAAUAGAUCCUGAAACCGCAUGCAUACAAGCAGUGGGAGCACCUUCGUGGUGUGACUGCGUACCUUUUGUAUAAUGGGUCAGCGACUUAUAUUCAGUAGCGAGGUUAACCGUAUAGGGGAGCCGUAGAGAAAUCGAGUCUUAAUAGGGCGUUUAGUUGCUGGGUAUAGACCCGAAACCAGGCGAUCUAUCCAUGAGCAGGUUGAAGGUUGGGUAACACUAACUGGAGGACCGAACCCACUGUCGUUGAAAAGCCAGGGGAUGACUUGUGGAUAGGGGGGAAAGGCUAAUCAAGCCUGGUGAUAGCUGGUUCUCCCCGAAAGCUAUUUAGGUAGCGCCUCGGACGAAUACCAUAGGGGGUAGAGCACUGUUUCGGCUAGGGGGUCAUCCCGACUUACCAAACCGAUGCAAACUCCGAAUACCUAUGAGUACUAUCCGGGAGACAGACUGCGGGUGCUAACGUCCGUAGUCAAGAGGAAAACAAUCCAGACCGCCAGCUAAGGCCCCAAAAUCAUAGUUAAGUGGGAAACGAUGUGGGAAGGCAUAGACAGCUAGGAGGUUGGCUUAGAAGCAGCCACCCUUUAAAGAAAGCGUAAUAGCUCACUAGUCGAGUCGGCCUGCGCGGAAGAUGUAACGGGGCUAAAACUAUGUGCCGAAGCUGCGGAUGUAUACUUUGUAUACGUGGUAGGGGAGCGUUCUGUAAGCCGAUGAAGGUGUGUUGAGAAGCAUGCUGGAGGUAUCAGAAGUGCGAAUGCUGACGUGAGUAACGACAAAACGGGUGAAAAACCCGUUCGCCGAAAGACCAAGGGUUCCAGUCCAACGUUAAUCGGGGCUGGGUGAGUCGACCCCUAAGGCGAGGCCGAAAGGCGUAGUCGAUGGGAAAAUGGUUAAUAUUCCAUUACUUCUGUGUAAUGCGAUGAGAGGACGGAGAAGGCUAAAUCAGCCUGGCGUUGGUUGUCCAGGUGAAAGGAUGUAGGCAUGUAUCUUAGGCAAAUCCGGGGUACUCUAUGCUGAGAUCUGAUAGCAAGCUGUACUUGUACAGCGAAGUGGUUGAUGCCAUGCUUCCAGGAAAAGUCUCUAAGCUUCAGUUACACAGGAAUCGUACCCGAAACCGACACAGGUGGUCAGGUCGAGUAGACCAAGGCGCUUGAGAGAACUCUGCUGAAGGAACUAGGCAAAAUGGUACCGUAACUUCGGGAGAAGGUACGCUGUUGUUGGUGAUGGAACUCGCUUCCUGAGCUGACGACAGCCGCAGAAACCAGGCCGCUGCAACUGUUUAUUAAAAACAUAGCACUCUGCAAACACGAAAGUGGACGUAUAGGGUGUGAUGCCUGCCCGGUGCUGGAAGGUUAAUUGAUGGGGUUAGCGUAAGCGAAGCUCUUGAUCGAAGCCCCAGUAAACGGCGGCCGUAACUAUAACGGUCCUAAGGUAGCGAAAUUCCUUGUCGGGUAAGUUCCGACCUGCACGAAUGGCAUAAUGAUGGCGGCGCUGUCUCCAGCAGAGGCUCAGUGAAAUCGAAAUCGCUGUGAAGAUGCAGUGUACCCGCGGCUAGACGGAAAGACCCCGUGAACCUUUACUGCAGCUUGACACUGAACUUUGACCUUACUUGUGUAGGAUAGGUGGGAGGCUUUGAAGCUGGAACGCUAGUUCCAGUGGAGCCGUCCUUGAAAUACCACCCUGGUAAUGUUGAGGUUCUAACUCUGUCCCGUGAUCCGGGACGAGGACCGUGUCUGGUGGGUAGUUUGACUGGGGCGGUCUCCUCCUAAAGAGUAACGGAGGAGUACGAAGGUGCGCUCAGCGUGGUCGGAAAUCACGCGUAGAGUAUAAAGGCAAAAGCGCGCUUAACUGCGAGACCCACAAGUCGAGCAGGUACGAAAGUAGGUCUUAGUGAUCCGGUGGUUCUGUAUGGAAGGGCCAUCGCUCAACGGAUAAAAGGUACUCUGGGGAUAACAGGCUGAUACCGCCCAAGAGUUCAUAUCGACGGCGGUGUUUGGCACCUCGAUGUCGGCUCAUCUCAUCCUGGGGCUGAAGCAGGUCCCAAGGGUAUGGCUGUUCGCCAUUUAAAGAGGUACGCGAGCUGGGUUUAGAACGUCGUGAGACAGUUCGGUCCCUAUCUACCGUGGGCGCUGGAAAUUUGAGAGGAUCUGCUCCUAGUACGAGAGGACCAGAGUGGACGAACCUCUGGUGUACCGGUUGUGACGCCAGUCGCAUCGCCGGGUAGCUAUGUUCGGAAGGGAUAACCGCUGAAAGCAUCUAAGCGGGAAGCCUACCUCAAGAUAAGAUUUCCCUAGGACUUUAUGUCCUCUAAAGAGCCGUUCGAGACUAGGACGUUGAUAGGUUGGAUGUGGAAGCAUAGUGAUAUGUGAAGCUGACCAAUACUAAUUGCUCGUGAGGCUUGACUAUACAACACCCAAGCAGUUG